CAAGCCCUUUCUUCCUGUUCCUCCUGCUCAGGUUGAGGCUUCACUUUCCAUGGAGAGAGGCCCCUUCCUGCACCCUGGGGAGGGAGGCUGUCCACAGGUAGGGCCAGGCCCGGUCAGUGGUGCAUGGCCUGAGUAGGGUGGGGGGGCACGGGACCCCUGGAAGGUGAGAGACCAAGAGCCUUAGCUGGUCUGGGGGCUGGUGUGGGGGCGAGCAGAGCCAGUCCCGCCCUUCCCAGCAAGUGAGGACGACCAUGACCUGGUUCCUGGAAGGCGGAACAAGGAGUGGCGGGAUUUCUGCAGGUGUGACCGGGGUUUCUAAUCAGGUGACUUGGCGUUCAUCAGAAGGGAGGUUGAUCUGGCCGAGCCUGGCUAGCUCAGGUGCACCCUUUAAGAGGCUGGAAGCCACAGAGCCGCCCCCUCCUGAUGCCAAAGAAGCAUAUGGCCAUCGGCUCCACAGCUGCGAGAAAGAUUAUGCACACAACGACAUGCGCUCAGGAGGGGACCUCGCGCCUCGGUUGAGAUCCCAGCCCUGGCUGACACCUUGAGUGCAGCCUGUGAGACCCUGAGCAGAGGUUCAGCAGUCCCCUCCCCGGACUCCUGCCACACAGAAGCCAUGAGCUGACAGAACCAAGGACACACACCUUGUUAACGACGCCCUCAAGGCUGUGAGGAGAAAGACAACCGGGUGAAGCAACGCUGGGAAUUCAACGCAUC
rnacentral:lncRNA from 1 species